AUGCGGCGGUGUCGGGGCGCGGGGCUGGCGGCGCUGGCCGCGCUGCUCAUCGUGACUUCAGGAAGAGCCCAGGUGCAGCAGGAGCCAUUCCUGGAGACCACGGAGGGCACCGGCAUCAACAUCACCUGCUCACACCCCAAAAAGCUGCUCGGUGAAUACAUCCAUUUCUACCGUCAGCUCCCGGGGCGAGAACCCGAAUUCGUCGCCUUCACUGCCAGAGGCUCCAAGGCUGUGCCGGCCAUUGCAGGACAGCUGAGGGUGUCGGAGGACGGGCGUUCGAGCGCGCUGUGGCUCGGCCGGCCCCGGCGCGGGGACGCGGCCGUGUAUUACUGCGCGCUGGGGGCCACGGGCAGAGGAGCCGGGGCUGCGGCCGGGCACGAACCGCCGCGGGCGGGGCCGGCCGGGGCCAGCAGGGGGCGCUGCCGCUCCGCCCGCCGGGCUCCGCGCGUUUCAAAUGCGCAAAGCAACCGGGCACCCUCACCUUCCCCCUGA